rnacentral:ncRNA from 1 species
GAGAGCCGUAUGCGGGAAAACCGCACGUACGGUUCGGAGGGAUGGGAGAGCGGAGGCUCUUCUCUACCCCUAU